rnacentral:rRNA from 1 species
AGCAGCCGCGGUAAUUCCAGCUCCAAUAGCGUAUAUUAAAGUUGUUGCAGUUAAAAAGCUCGUAGUUGAAUUUCGGGAUCGACGGGUCGGUCGCGCCUCUGGUGUGUACUGGCCCUGUCGGUUUCUCCCUUCUGACGAACCACGAUGUCAUUAAUUUGGUGUCGUGGGAAAUCAGGACUGUUACUUUGAAAAAAUUAGAGUGUUUAAAGCAGGCAUUCGCUUGAAUACAUUAGCAUGGAAUAAUGAAAUAGGACGUUUGAUCUUAUUUUGUUGGUUUCUAAGAUCGACGUAAUGAUUAAUAGGGAUAGUUGGGGGCAUUAGUAUUCAAUUGUCAGAGGUGAAAUUCUUGGAUUUAUUGAAGACUAACUACUGCGAAAGCAUUUGCCAAGGAUGUUUUCAUUAAUCAAGAACGAAAGUUAGGGGAUCGAAGACGAUCAGGUACCGUCGUAGUCUUAACCAUAAACUAUGCCGACUAGGGAUCGGAUGAUGUUAAUUUUUAAUGUACUCAUUCGGCGCCUUA